UCUCCGUUGGUGAACCAGCGGAGGGAUCAUUACCGAGUUUACAACUCCCAAACCCAAUGUGAACCAUACCAAACUGUUGCCUCGGCGGGGUCACGCCCCGGGUGCGUCGCAGCCCCGGAACCAGGCGCCCGCCGGAGGGACCAACCAAACUCUUUCUGUAGUCCCCUCGCGGACGUUAUUUCUUACAGCUCUGAGCAAAAAUUCAAAAUGAAUCAAAACUUUCAACAACAGAUCUCUUGGUUCUG
rnacentral:misc_RNA from 1 species